CGGCACGCCUAACACAUGCAAGUCGAACGCAGUAGCAAUACUGAGUGGCAAACGGGUGAGUAUAAUGUGGGAAUCUGCCUUUUGGUUUGGAAUAACACGGGGAAACUUGUGCUAAUACCGGAUAAGCCCUUACGGGGAAAGUUUUAACGCCGAAAGAUGAGCCUGCACUUGAUUAGCUAGUUGGUAAGGUAAAAGCUUACCAAGGCAACGAUCAAUAGCUGUUCUUAGAGGAAGACCAGCCACAUUGGGACUGAGACACGGCCCAGACUCCUACGGGAGGCAGCAGUGGGGAAUCUUGCACAAUGGGGGAAACCCUGAUGCAGCGAUGCCGCGUGAGUGAAGAAGGCCCUUGGGUUGUAAAACUCUUUCGUCGGGGAAGAAAAUGACUGUACCCGAAUAAGAAGGUCCGGCUA
rnacentral:rRNA from 1 species